rnacentral:rRNA from 1 species
UGGGGAAUAUUGCACAAUGGGCGCAAGCCUGAUGCAGCCAUGCCGCGUGUAUGAAGAAGGCCUUCGGGUUGUAAAGUACUUUCAGCGGGGAGGAAGGGAGUAAAGUUAAUACCUUUGCUCAUUGACGUUACCCGCAGAAGAAGCACCGGCUAACUCCGUGCCAGCAGCCGCGGUAAUACGGAGGGUGCAAGCGUUAAUCGGAAUUACUGGGCGUAAAGCGCACGCAGGCGGUUUGUUAAGUCAGAUGUGAAAUCCUCGGGCUCAACCUGGGAACUGCAUCUGAUACUGGCAAGCUUGAGUCUCGUAGAGGGGGGUAGAAUUCCAGGUGUAGCGGUGAAAUGCGUAGAGAUCUGGAGGAAUACCGGUGGCGAAGGCGGCCCCCUGGACGAAGACUGACGCUCAGGUGCGAAAGCGUGGGGAGCAAUCAGG